UCUUACAGCCAUACCGCCCGGAAUACGCCCGAUCUUGGCUAAUCUCAGAUGCUAAGUAGGGUCUGGUUAGUACUUGGAUGGGAGAGAGAGCAAAUGAGCACCGCAAUUA
rnacentral:rRNA from 1 species